rnacentral:lncRNA from 1 species
UUAGUUAGUGCCACUUGAGAUAUUUGUUACUACCACUUCACCACUUUCUAACCACACAAAUAAGCAUGGCCACUUGUUAGUAACCUUGACCCACUCACCACCACAUGUUUGUGUCUUAUACUACCUACCAGUGCCACUUGAGAUAUUUGUUACUACCACUUCACCACUUUCUAACCACACAAAUAAGCAUGGCCACUUGUUAGUAACCUUGACCCACUCACCACCACAUGUUUGUGUCUUAUACUACCUACCACUUGCCAUUUGUUUUUCUAUGUAUCAGAAAGGAUAAGUAGAGAGAAAGGAAAGCAUAAAAAGAAAGAGGAAGCUUAAGAGAAGAAGGAAAACAAGGCUAGUGAAGGAGAAGAAGAAGAAGAAGAAGAAGGAAAACUUGGAACCAACACCAUCAUCU